AUGGCGAGAUUUGAUGAGAAAGCAACCACUCUAUUUUCAUGUUGCCGCCGUCACCAACACGAAUCUGACAAACCACCAAUCUCCACUACUGAAACAAGUGGUGAUUUCACAGGUCCUGCGGUUAAAGAAGUGUUAUCGGUUAUUGAAUCUCUAAAGAAGCAAGUAGCUGUGAAACUGGCCUUUUUCCUCAAAGGGUUGAGCUUAUACGCACUACACUGUCCAAAUUGCAUGUCUUCUUAUUGUGGAUUCCCUUGGUUUAUAUAUUUGAAUCAUCGUUGUUAG